GAGAUGGGAGUGUGUGCCUCGCUUGGUCUUAGCUGUGUUCCAGGUUCCUGAGUGAGGCGCUUAUUUGCAUUGGCUCGCUUUGCAACAGGUGCAUUGUGUCAGAGGUCAAUCCGGCACUUCUUCUGUGAAAGAGGGGAUUGGAGAAGUUGGUGUCCAGCACCAGGAGGUGUCACCCCCUGUGUUCUCAACAGACCUUACCAGUGAGACCGAAUCGAGAUCAGCGUGUCAGUCAUCCAGAGCCGUGCCAAACGACUCUGCUUGUGAGGUGUGUUUGAAUUUACCUUGGUUUUGAAAUUGAUCAGUGGUUAGAAGUACUGUGAUGUUCCAUGGAACACAAUUUUCAGUGUUAUAGUAAACAUCUUGCAGCUGUGGUGGAAAUGUCCUCUAUUCAGUAUGGAUGGUCUUUUCUAACCACGGUGUCCCCCCAACACUGGUGUUUUUCUGAGUGUGCCACACACUGGGAGUUCAACAGUGGAAGACUCGGUUUGAGCAUGGAUGUCAUUACAAGUCCAAAGGACAGUGUCCUUGCAUACCUCGAGUUUGUCUGUCUCACACACAAGUGCACAGAUGUUCAAUUUGUACCUUUUUACCUUUAUUUUAUACAAAAUUACUUUUUUUUUUCCCCCUUACAAUUGUUUUUAUAUUUCUUGCAUUACUUAAAUGGAUAGUCCAGGGUUAAUAAACCCUUCCCUUGCUGUUAGGGGUGACAGUGCUGUGGCUAGGAAGGAGGAGGAGAAUAAUUGGUACAGCACUGACCGAAAUUGUAAGCUAAAGCUAACUGAACCAGGCAGGGAAAUGACACUGAAAUGGAGUUUCCUUCCCCUAUCGGUUUGUGUUACCUGCUGUUUUGCUUUUAGUCUAUGGUGUAAAAAAUGUUCUUGUUCUUCCUAUUGACAGCACUCGGUAACCUCAAACAACAGGUCUAUAGGUUGAUUUACCCUGAAGUUUAGCUUUUAGUGUUACGCAAAG
ensembl:lncRNA